UUAAUUGAAGCCAAAAUAGAGGCAAAUUAUUGUUAAUAAUUUUAUUGAAUAAAUUUCCAAUUAAU
rnacentral:tRNA from 1 species